rnacentral:rRNA from 1 species
AGUCACUGACAUUAGACUACCCGGUACGUCCCAGCCGUAAACAAUGUGCGUUAGGUGUGUCGGUAACCACGCGUUACUGAUGCGCCGAAGAGAAAUCGUGAAACGCACCACCUGGGAAGUACGGUCGCAAGGCUGAAACUUAAAGGAAUUGGCGGGGAGCACCACAACAGGUGGAGCCUGCGGUUUAAUUGGAUUCAACGCCGGACAUCUCACCGGAUAAGACAGCUGAAUGAUUGUCAAUCUGAAGGUUUUACAUGACUAGCUG